GGGGUUGUAGCUCAGAGGCAGAGCGCUUGCCUAGCACAUGCAAGGCCCUGGGUUCGAUUCUCAGCACCA
rnacentral:tRNA from 1 species